rnacentral:lncRNA from 1 species
UUCAAAUCUUAGUACUGAAGUUUAUUUCAGAUUACUAUUUUUUUUAAAAUGGAUUAAUUGAAUCAGCAUGUUACCAAAGUAACGUCUCUUAUCUAAAUUAAUUUAUUUGGAAUAUUAGGAAGGUCGUAUGUACGUAAUUUAUGCAGAUAUUCAUUGGCACAAAGGAAUAUUAGGAAGGUCGUGUGUACGUAAAUUAUGGAUAAAGAAUGGGUGCGUCUUAACAUGUAGUUUGUACUUUGUCAUGUAAUUUAUAUACUUUAUAUUUUAAGAUAAUGUCUUAGAAUAUUGUCUUUUAAAAUUGUUAGGGCCUCACAAGAGUACAUAAAAGCUUCGGAAAAAUUUGUUGUUACUACUCAUCAUAAUUUAGGCAAACCAAAUAAAAUUUUAUGUCCUUGUAAAGAUUGUCGAAACUUAACCAUCAAUAUGUAGAUAUCGUUCACGAGCAUCUGGUCAUAAGAGGGAAUAGAUUCGACUUACACAAAUUGGUUUCACCAUGGAGAAAGAUUAAUUAGUAAUGUUGAUACUGCAAAUAAGACGGAAAUAUUCAACUUGUUUGAAACUGCACAUACGAAUGAAGAACAUAACAAGGAAGUUUUUGAAGAGAAUUUGGAUGAUGACAUUAGUCGAUUGGUGAAGGAUGCUGAAACUCCGUUGUAUCCGAGAAAUGAAAAAUACACAAAGCUAUCUUCAAUUGUGACCUUAUAUAAGCUUAAAACUAUUAAUGGUUGGUCAGAUAAUAGCUUUACAGAAUUUCUAAACAUAUUACAUGAUAUGUUACCUGAAGGUAAUGUAAUUCCUACAUCCACAAUAUGCGUAAGAAAAUUUCUAAAGACAUUUGAUUUAGGAUAUAAGAAGAUUCAUGUAUGUGUUAAUAAUUGCUGUUUGUUUAGAAACGAUAAAAAGGAACUAGAUAGUUGUCCAAAAUUUGGAUCUUCGAGAUGGGAGGUCGAUAAGCAGACACGAAAGAGUAAAAAUGGUGUACUUGCUAAAGUCUUAAGAUACUUUCUUAUAAAAUCUAGAUUCUAGAGGAUGUUUAGUAAACCGAAGAUGGCUGAAUCAUUAAUAUCGCAUUCAACCAAUCAGAGUGUUGAUAGUAAAAUGCGUCAUCAAGUGGAUUCUCCAUCUUGGGCUUUAAUUGACAACAAGUGGCCAGAGUUUGCAAAUAAUCCACGCAAUCUUAGGCUUGAGCUUGCUACAGAUGGUUUCAAUCCAUUCAACAAUUUCAACUCUACAUAUAGUUGUUAGCCAGUGAUGUUGGUCAUUUAUAAUCUACCACCAUGGUUAUGUAUGAAAAAAGAAAAUAUCAUGUUGUCAUUGUUAAUUCCAGGGCCUAAACAACUUGGGAAUGAUAUUGAUAUAUUUUGAAACCAUUUAUAGAUGACUUGAACGAAUUGUGGAAUAUUGGGGUGAAUGUGUAUGAUGCACACACUAAUGCAGUCUUCAACUUGACAGCAAUACUUAUGUGGACUACUAAUGAUUUACCAGCUCUUGAAAAUUUAGCUGGAUGUAAAAUUAAGGGUAGGACAGGUUGCCCUAUAAAAUGCUACGUAAAAGUUUUUUAUAACACUUUAUAAUAGAGGUAUGACUUUUAAUAACACCAUCUACAAUAACAUUUUGGAAAAUGCUAUGAAACAUGAUAGAUAACAUUUUUCGCAAGCUAUAGAAGCCUUGAUAUGUUGUAGUGAAGAUGGCAACAACAAAAAAAAAAAACUCGUUAAAUUUGAUAUUCACGGAGUCUGGUUCCAUAACUCGCCUAAUUAGGUAAACGGGAUGACGGUCGUUGCCUUGAAACAUAUAUGGA